UUAAUUACGUUUUUAGUGUUUCGAGAGUCCCAGUUGCCCAGAACCCUCUAUACGCUUAGUUUAUAAUCAAUUGACUUUUGCUUUGUUUGUCAACAUUACCGACCUUGCGGAAGGCAACAUGAGCUAACAAAAUGUUUUCGCCACCAGACUUCCCAGAGUGUUGCCACCUCAGGUCGCUCAAUGACAGGGAACACCUUCCUUAGUAAUGAAACCAAGGCCGGAAACCGAAAAUUAAAAAUUCGCGGGUCGCAAAACAGGUUGCUCUCCAGGGCGUGAACCCCUUCAAGCUUCCCAUUCUGUUGGGUUAAGGUUGUGGUAAUGAUCCUUCCGCAGGUUCACCUACGGAAA
rnacentral:misc_RNA from 1 species